GCGGGAAACAAGUUCUUAUUAGCCCCUUGUUUUGAGGAUCUACAUUGGAGCCUUAUGGUGAUUUGUGUUUCCAAUAACACAAUCUACUACUUUGACUCGGCUCGUAUAUGGCCACCAAGGAAGUUGCUAGUGAAUAACCUACUGAAUAAGUACAUACCGCUUUCUAUAUAUUGUUUUGUAUCAUCACCUAAGUGAUUGAGUGGCUAUGUUCCUAAAUUGUUUGUUUUUUAUUUUUUUGAAGUGUUAUGAAGAAGUUGAAUUGUCGUUCGGUUGCGGGUCCCACGUGGAAAUAUGCGAAGGUAAAGCCUUGAUAUAUUGAUUUAUUUAAUAAAAUUGCCUUGAGUUAUGGCUAUGCAUAACUAUUUUAACUUUGUGUCAUGUUAGUGUGCGCAACAAGACAAAGGCGUUGACUGUGCCCUCUAUGAGAUGAGGUUUAUGCAUGACAUAGUCAAUAGGUGCACUGAAGCCCAACACAUUGAGGAGGUUUGUAAGAUUCAAAGGGAAGGCCCUUUGAUAAAGGAAGAAGUUGAUGAAAUUCGCAACAUGUGGGCUUUUUUUUGUGACAUUUGAUGGCAUCUAGGUAGUAUAUUUAAUAUAUAUGUGUUAGUUAGAUAAUGAAUGAGAUUGAGUUUUUUUUAUUUUUUAUGAACAAUUAAUAUUUAGUUACUAUAUCUUUUUUAUUUUUAUUAAACCCAUAUGUACAUUAUAUUACUUAUUUGUAAU